GCAAGAUACCACGGGCGCACGGCGGAUGCCUUGGCACAGGGAGCCGAUGAAGGACGCGGCAAGCUGCGAUAAUCCCCGGCGAGGAGCACACAUCCUUCGACCCGGGGGUCUCCGAAUGGGCGAACCCAUCCACAGCAGUGUGGAUAUCCCCACCCCGAACACAUAGGGGCGGGGAGGACAACCCGGGGAACUGAAACAUCUAAGUACCCGGAGGAGAGGAAAUCAAUCUCGAGACUCCCCGAGUAGCGGCGAGCGAAAGGGGACCGAUGGCCAAACCGUCGAGCGGGCAUACCCGGCAGGGGUUCCGCCGACGGGGUUGCAGGGCCGCGCAUCCGGGGGCUGCCGCCCCCGGGCGCAGGUCCGGCUGGGGAGCGGAACGGCAUGGGAGGGCCGGCCGCAGCGGGUGACAGCCCCGUACGCGAACCCAGACCGGACGGCGCGACGCGGUCCCUGAGUAGGGCCGGGCACGUGAAACCCGGUCCGAACCUGGGUGGACCACCAUCCAAGCCUGAGUACUACCCUGUGACCGAUAGCGCACCAGUACCGUGAGGGAAAGGUGAAAAGCACCCCGGGAGGGGAGUGAAACAGUACCUGAAACCGUGCGCCCACGAGCAGUCGGAGCACCCUUGUGGUGUGACGGCGUGCCUUUUGUAGAAUGAGCCAGCGAGUCGCUGGCGCGGGGCGAGGUUAACCGAAAGGGAGCCGGAGCGAAAGCGAGCCUUAACAGGGCGACUUGAGUCCCGCGCCGCGGACGCGAAGCCGGGUGAGCUAUCCGUGGGCAGGCUGAAGCGGGGGUAAGACCCCGUGGAGGGCCGAACGCACGUCGGUUGAAAACGGCGGCGAUGACCUGCGGAUAGGGGUGAAAGGCCAAUCAAACCCGGAGAUAUCUCGUUCUCCCCGAAAUAGCUUUAGGGCUAGCGUCGCGCGUUCACCGCCGGAGGUAGAGCACCGGAUGGACGAGGGGGCUUCGCCGCCUACCGAAUCCAACCGAACUCCGAAUGCCGGCGGCCCAGAGCGCGGCAGUCAGAGCAUGUGGGCUAAGCUGUGUGCUCGAGAGGGAAACAGCCCGGACCGCCCGCUAAGGUCCCCAAGUUCCAGCCGAGUGGCAAAGGAUGUGCGUCCGCCCAGACAACCAGGAUGUUGGCUUAGAAGCAGCCAUGCAUUCAAAGAGUGCGUAACAGCUCACUGGUCGAGUGGACAUGCGCCGACAAUACACGGGGCUAAGCUGGACACCGAAGCGGCGGGAUUUUAUCUAUAUAGAAUCGGUAGGGGAGCUUCCCAUGGGCGGGGAAGCCGCCGGGCGACCGGCGGUGGAGCGCAUGGGAGUGAGAAUGCUGGCAUGAGUAGCGAGAGACGAGAGAGUAACUCGUCCGCCGUGAACCCGAGGUUUCCUGGGCAAGGCUAAUCCUCCCAGGGUCAGUCGGGGGCUAAGGCGAGGCCGGAAGGCGUAGCCGACGCGCAGCAGGCAGACAUUCCUGCACCGCGCACGCGGCGCUACGACCGACGGGGCGACGGAUGGGGGUGGCUCGGCGGGGUUCUGGACGUCCCCGUGAUGGAGCGCGGCCCGCGGACCAGGGAAAUCCGGUCCGCACGAGGGCGAGGCUCCGGACGAAGAGUGGGACGAGCCCGCGCCGUGUGACGUGUCGAGCGACGAGGGCGAGACCGGCAACGAUGCCGGUGUCGAGCCUGAAGCCGCCUCCGAUGCCGCCGAACCCCUAACCUUUGAACAGGCUUGGGCCCAGGCCGAGGUCGACGAGGCGAAGGCCGAUGCCACGGCCACGCUCGGCGAGCCGGCUGAUAUGUCGAUCUCGCCGGCAAAGACCCCACAGCCGCGCCAUACCAUCGACCCCGGCAGCACGGCAUCCUUCAGCAUACUCGACGUGCCCGCGCAGGGUGCCCAGGCGCCCGCCCCCACCCAUCGCCCCAACCUGGCUCGCGAGGAAGACGCGGGCCGUCGCUCUCCGCUCGGCCCCAUUCUCAUCGCCUUUAUGGCCGGCGUUAUCGCUUGCUCGGCGAUCGGCAGCAUCUGGGGUCAUGUCGAGCAGCAGCGCCAAGACGCCGCCAAGGUCGAGAUGUCUGUCGAGCAAUCGCUCAGCCGCACGCGCUCGGUGCAUGUGUCGGUCGAGGUUAAGGACGGUGCGACAUGGGACACCGCCCGCGGCGACAGCCAGAUGCUCGUCCAUAUCGUGGGUCGCACGCUCAAGGGACAAGCAAUCGACGAGUAUCAAUACGUCAAUUCCGAAGGUGACGGUAUCGAGCUCAAGCCCGGCGACUACGAGCUCACGGUCGAUGAGCCGCCCGUCGCCACCGACGGCACGCGUUACCGCGCCUCAAAGCGCAUGGUUCCGGUGAGCUUUAAUUCACAGGCGCCCGAUACGGUCGAUAGCACGCCACAGGGCGGGUUUGACCUUUACGCUAUUGCUCAAUAACUGCGCCUGACGCUCAACCCCGCCGCCAAGAGUGGGACAAUAGCCCUCGACACUGUUGUUUACUUUUGGAGGAAGUAGCAUGUCUACCGUCACCACCAUCAAGCGCGGCGGCCUUACCGCGGCCAUCGAUUCCAUGGGCGCCCAGCUCACGAGCCUUGCCCUCAACGGCAACGAGUAUCUGUGGCAGGGCGAUCCCGCCGUGUGGUCCGGCCAGGCACCGAUUUGCUUCCCGAUUUGCGGAGGCUUGCGCAAUGGUAGCGCCAUGACGUUUGCCGGGCAUCAUGUGAAGCUCGCCCGCCACGGCUUUGCGCGCAAGCAGGAGUGGAAGCUGUUGAGCCAAAGCGCAAACGAGCUGGCUAUGUGCCUGGCAUCCGAGGAUAACGCCGCGCUGCUGAGCGAUUAUCCCUACCCGUUUAAGCUUGUUGCUCGUUAUACGCUUGAGGACGCCGCCGUGCGUGUCGCCUAUGAGGUUACCAACGAGGGUACCGAGGACAUGCCGUUCUUUAUCGGCGGUCAUCCCGGCUUUAGGUGUCCGCUCGACGAGGGUGAGGCCUAUACGGA
rnacentral:rRNA from 1 species